AACGAACGCUGGCGGCAUGCCUAACACAUGCAAGUCGAACGAGACCUUCGGGUCUAGUGGCGCACGGGUGCGUAACGCGUGGGAACCUGCCCUUAGGUUCGGAAUAACUCCCCGAAAGGGGUGCUAAUACCGGAUAAUGUCUUCGGACCAAAGAUUUAUCGCCUUUGGAUGGGCCCGCGUUGGAUUAGCUAGUUGGUAGUGUAAAAGCCUACCAAGGCGACGAUCCAUAGCUGGUCUGAGAGGAUGAUCAGCCACACUGGGACUGAGACACGGCCCAGACUCCUACGGGAGGCAGCAGUGGGGAAUAUUGGACAAUGGGCGAAAGCCUGAUCCAGCAAUGCCGCGUGAGUGAUGAAGGCCUUAGGGUUGUAAAGCUCUUUUACCCGGGAUGAUAAUGACAGUACCGGGAGAAUAAGCUCCGGCUAACUCCGUG
rnacentral:rRNA from 1 species